UACGUAGGGUGCGAGCGUUAAUCGGAAUUACUGGGCGUAAAGCGUGCGCAGGCGGUUUUGUAAGACAGAGGUGAAAUCCCCGGGCUCAACCUGGGAACUGCCUUUGUGACUGCAAGGCUUGAGUGCGGCAGAGGGGGAUGGAAUUCCGCGUGUAGCAGUGAAAUGCGUAGAGAUCGGCAGGAACACCCAGGGAGAAAUCAGCCGCCUGGGCAAGUGCUGACGCUGAGGUGCGAAAGCGUGGGGAGCGAACCGG
rnacentral:rRNA from 1 species